AUGCUCUCCUCCAGGUUCCUCACAAUCUCUCACCAGCUCCAGAACAAGACCCGGAUCUCAGCCUGCCUGACACACUGCUUCAUCCCCUGGCCGCCCACUCUCAGCCGCUCACCUACCAACGUCCAUUCCUGCUCCUACACCUCUGGACAAACAAUCCCUAUACCUGUGGAUCUCCUCAGCUCACCCGGACCUAACAACCUUCCUGUACAAUUACCACUACCAAGAAGCAAAUCUCCCCCUGGAUUCCUGCUGCCAGUCCUGCGUCUCGUCUGUUCCCGUCUCUCACAUUGCUCUUUAUCUAGUAAUAAAAACCUUUUUACUUACCUUCUUGCUCUCCGUAUGGUGAUUCUGCAUGUCGUGGGUCAAGAAACUUUCUCCCGUCAUGACAAUGGCUCACGGGUGCACAUGUGAGCACAUCUGGGCUGGGCAGAAGUAAUUUUACAAUAUUGGUUUAAAUAGCGCCAAUAACGAGACGCAGUAACUUGAGUGGCUCCUGGAGCUGUGCCACGCGCACACACACACACACACGCACACAGAUUCAAUAAGCACGCACGCUGCGCAAACUCCGGCGCGCCAUCAGGCUGAAGGCAGAAAUGAGUGCUGCCGCUUCCGUGAUAAAAACUUUUAAGAGGUUUUAUAACAAAAUUUUUCAUUCCAGGUCAAAUUAAGAUAUUAGCUUCUAUUUUGGGAUGACGUAUUAAAGUCUGUUCCGCUCCAGCCAGUGACUCCGAACCUGACAACAACUCAUGUUACUGCAGCAUUUGUUAUUCCAGUCCGCGUGGCAGCGGAUCGCAGAUUCAGCCACCCCAUAAAACAGCAAUAAGUCGGUCUGAGGCAAAAGUGAACCUCAUGGCUAUAUCUUUUCCAUAUUUUCCCCUAUAGACAUUUGAUUACGCACAAGUAGGUGAUCAGCUCAGGUUUACGCAGAGCAGAAGGAAGGAGAGAGCUCUGGUCACACAGGUUAAACCUUCCUACUUUAAGAAAACCGUUAAAUUGCAUUGUUUAUGCGCUACCUGGGCACUCUAAAUAUUUAUUUAAAAUUAAAUGAAAGGAAAUUGUAAUGGUAUCGAAUGUUUAUUAAUUACUAUUUAAAAAAUGAAAGUGAUGGGGAAAAAGGUCCAUAUUUUUUUAACCCUGUCUGUUUAGCUUGACGUCUGUAGCCAUGCCCUGAUGUGGGGGCUGGGGGGUGCGUCAACAUGGUCAGGACAUAGAAGGGGGUGCGCGGCAAAAUAAGUUUGGGAACCACUGGUCUAUACAAAACAUCAUGAUGAAGUUCUUUGGACAAAAUCCCUCAUGGGCAGCUGGUGGGAAAAAAAAAAUCUUGGUGGGGCUUUCUUCUUCUUCUUGGUGGGGAUUUCCCUCCUUAGUUCACUGUUAGUAGGUCUGCUCAUUUAAACAGUUGGAGAAAGUCUAUAACUCCCAAACAUAAUUUAUCAUGGCUCUUCUCCAAAUAAACCCUUUUACAGAUUAAUGAGACAAGACAACUUUAUUGUAUAGUACCUUACAACAAUAUAAAACGUACCAAAGUGCACAGAUUUAAAAAUCAAUUAAAAACAAAACACACAACAAUACACCUCAUUAAAACUAUUAAAAUUACAUAAAAACUAAAAGACUCUCACGCUGUGUUAAAAGCCAAAGCAUACAAAUGGGUUUUCAAGAGAAAUUUGAAACAGGACAGAAAAGAUGUCGACCGAAUGCACAGAGGCAGCACAUUCCAAAGCCUAUAGUGGCCGCUACUGAAAAAAAAGAAGCCCUGUCACCUAUGAGCUUACAUCUUGUUCUUGGGACUUCGAGGAGCAGCCUAUCUGCUGACCUCAGUGAUGAACCAGUAGCACAGAGAUGUAACUUGGAUCAAGGCCAUGAAGAAAUUUAAAAGCCCAUAAAAGUAUUUUGUACUGGAUUCAAAAUCAACAGGCAACCAGUGAGACAAAGGCAGGUGUUAUAUGCUCUAUCCUUCUUGUCCCAUUGAGCAGAUACAUUCUGCAAUAAUGGGACAAUAAUAAUAAUUUGCCAAUAAAAUAUCACCAAAAAACCAGAGCAUCACUGAUUCUGUACUGUAGACAGGCUUGGAGCCGAACUGGAAUUUUGCCUAAUCAUUUCCCGGGCCUCUGGCAUUGCUGCUGGUAUUUCAGAGACUUUAUAAUGCAGACAAAUUUGCCCGUCAUUCUCCUCCACCUCAUGCAGUUGCAACCUCGAAACCCAUGUUUUCCAUCAUUUCCGUCUACGAAUAAAAUGCUGGCUGAGUAUCUUUGUACUCCUUCAGUCACAGGUAAAUAAACUUUCAUAUUUCAGUCUGUUCCAUGUUCACUGCUAAAUAUAUUUUUACUUUUUGACAGGGCAAUGGUGAUGCUGUUGACAAAGUUAAAGGAAGCAAUGUCCUGACCAAUUACAAGUUGCGGUCUCUGUCACUUUUGACAGAUAGUUAAAAAUUUGGGCAUGUCUCCGUCACUCUCUGUGAGCCUGUUGGAGAACCCUUGCGCCAAUACAUAAUGGUGUUGCAAGUCUGCAUACCCAUGCAGACGGAGAAGUAUAAAUAAUCCUUUACAUUUCUCUGUUUGUGUGGGUUCAAAGAUAUCACUUGGGACAGUGCCUCUUUCCUGACAUGGAGAUUCUUAAUGUGAAGAUUUUCCUCUAGGGUCUUACGAAAAGCCAGUAAAUCGUCAUUUUCUUUGUUUAACAUUUCUGUUUUGUCUUGUCUGUCCCACUUUUCUUUAACCAGUUUGCAGUGGUACAGAUCUUCAGACUUGCAAGAUUUGGCCUCCAUAAUUUUGGUAGCCUCCACUUGUGAAGAAAGCUUUUUUCUUACAGUCAUAUACAGUAUAUCAUACAGGAGACACACAGACAUAUUUGAGAAGUGAAACUAGGAUUUACAGAAAGGACAAUAAUUGUUUAAACAAAAUUAGGUUGGUGCAUAAAUUUGGGCAUCAUUGUCAUUUUAUUGACUCCAAAACCUUUCCAAAAAACUAAUUAUUGGAACUCAAAAUUUGUUUGGUAAGCUCAGUGGCCUUUGACCUCCAUACACAGGUGAAUCCAAUUAUGAAAAAUAGUAUUUAGGGAGUCCAAUUGUAAGUUUCCCUCCUCUUUGAAUAUUAUUCAAUUCAAUUCAAGUUUAUUUAUAUAACGCCAAAUCACGACAAGAGUCGUCUCAAGGCACUUCACAUAAUAAAACAUUCCAAUACAGGUCAGUUCAUUAAGCCAAUCAAAAAUAAUGUUUCCUAUAUAAGGAACCUAGCAAAUUGUAUCAAGUCACUGACUGGUGUCAGUGUCUUUACAGCAAUCCUCAUACUAAGCAAGCAUGCAGCGACAGUGGAGAGGAAAACUCCCCUUUAACAGGAAGAAACCUCCAGAGGAUCCUGGCUCAGUAUAAGCAGCCAUCCGCCACGACUUAUCUGAAGAGUAUCAAUCAAUCAAUCAACCAAUCAAUCAAUCAAUCAAUCAAUCAAUCAAUCAAUGCUUUAUUUAUAAAGCGCCUUCCACGACCAUGUCGGGAAGCCCAAGGAGCUGAACACAGUACAUGAGAAAUGUGAAACAUGAUGAAUAAAUUAAUAAUAAAAGCAAUUCAAAUAGUGCAAAAAAGGUAAAACAUUCUAGUAGAAGACAAAUGGGUAAAACAAGGGAUAAAGAGACAAAUGAAAGCAGGGAAAUAAAAUCAACAUAAAAGAGGGCCAAACUCAAACACGUUCAGGGAAUGCCAAGCAGAAGAGGUGGGUUUUUAGGCGACUCUUAAAGACUGGCAGAGAUGGGGACAGCCUAACUGAAGGUGGCAACUGGUUCCAGAUAGCCUAGUGAACUAGACCAAAUUCUUGCUUUGAAAAGUUUGGUCUAGGAAUGCUCCACUGGAACCUCUGCAGCCCCAACAGCAUUCUGGCUGGCCAAUCACAGCUCUCUAGAGGGGUUUCAAACACAUAAAGAGCUGUGAUUGGUCCAUAAUGGUGAGCCAGUCAUAGUGCUCUAUCUGCUUAGUGAACAAAUCACAGAGCUUUAUCCGCUUUGUGGGCCAAUCAGGGCACUCUAUAUGCCUGGUGGGUGGGAUGAUGCAACAGAGUGAAACAAGAGUAUGUCACAUUCAUUGUCCAGU
ensembl:lncRNA